GGCAUGGCUAAACCGCUUAAAUUACAUUUAUCAGGUAUGUUGGGUAUAUUUAUAAUAUUUAAAUACAUAAUAUUAUGUAUGUAGCAAAAGAAGUACCAGGCUACAUAAAUACAUUAAGAAUAAGAAAAAUUGUAGGUAUUUGUAAAAGUAUAUAUAUAUAUAGGUAUAUGAUAUGAAUUUAAAACAAAAUUUAUCAAAAAAUUGAAUAUUUAAUUAAAAAAAAAAAUGUAUCACGCAAUGGUUUUCAAAAAUUAUUAAUCCGGUAGAAAAAGCGAAUUCUUUUUAUAAAAAUAAUAUAUGAUUUUGACUGAAAAUGGUUCAAAUUGCAUCAUACAAUUACAAAAAGAUUAUUAAUAAAUAGUUAAAUAGUAGUAACUAAUAAAUAAAUAUAAAAAUAUAAUUACUAUAAAUAUUUGUAUAUAAAAAAAUUUGGAAAAAAAAAUAUUCCAAUACAUUUUCAAAAUACAAGUCUUUUUCAUAUUGCUGGAAGUUCAAACUUAUAAUAUAAACUUAUAUAAAUAAUAUAAUUAUCUUUUAAAAUUAGAUGUUUUAGAGCGAUAAAACUAUUAAUAUAAUAUUUAUCAGAUUUUGUUGAGCACAAAUUGAGCAUAAUUAAGUAAGACCACAGUUAGAUUACCGAUAAAUUAUAUAAUCUGAAUUCACGUGUGGACUAAUCACAGAUAAUUAAAUUCUUAUGAUAGUUUGAUAAUAUUAUUAUACAUUAAUUAUAUUUGUAAAUAAAUGAUCUAUUUGCUUAAAUUUUCUAUGCAAAAUCAUUCUGUGUCAACACUAGUAAGCAGAUAAAGUAACUAAAAUUUUGUUUUCGUAGUAUUGACUAGAAUACAAUUCUAAAACUUCAGAAACAGCAAAAAAGCAAAGCGUUUACAACUGACAUUAAAUACUAACUCAUUCAAAUAAUAAAAUAGUUUUAUACUCUUAGUAGUCUAUACAUUAUAUAGUCAUACAAUUUCAGACAGAAAAAAAUAUUUAUAAAUAAAUAAUAAUCGAAGUAUAACCAAAUGAACUAGUUUAUCGGACUUUUAUUAGAUCUUAUUUUCAAUUUGAUGAGAAAUCUUAAGUUUAUAUUAGAAAACCAAAUUUUUAUAAUAAAAGGUUACACAUAAACAGAUUUAAUGCAUGAAUAUAUGCAUAUAUAUAUAUAUAUAUAAUAUGUUUUACUAUAAUUU